rnacentral:rRNA from 1 species
AUUGAACGCUGGCGGCAUGCUUUACACAUGCAAGUCGAACGGCAGCGCGGGCUUCGGCCUGGCGGCGAGUGGCGAACGGGUGAGUAAUGCAUCGGAACGUGCCCAGUAGUGGGGGAAGGCCGGCGAAAGGCGGAUUAAAACCGCAAAAGAACCGGGGGGGAAAGCGGGGGGACGGAAAGGCCCGGGGCAUUAGAGGGGGCGAUGUCGGAUUAGGUAGUUGGUGGGGGAAAGGCUUACCAAGGCGACGAUCCGUAGCUGGUCUGAGAGGACGACCAGCCACACUGGGACUGAGACACGGCCCAGACUCCUACGGGAGGCAGCAGUGGGGAAUUUUGGACAAUGGGGGCAACCCUGAUCCAGCCAUGCCGCGUGCGGGAAGAAGGCCUUCGGGUUGUAAACCGCUUUUGUUCGGGAAGAAAUCCUCUGGGCUAAUACCCCGGGGGGAUGACGGUACCGGAAGAAUAAGCACCGGCUAACUACGUG